rnacentral:lncRNA from 1 species
GCUGCGACUGUACCACUGCACUCCAGCCUGGGUGACAGAGCAAGACCCUGUCUCAAAAAGAAAAAAAAGGUGAGGGCUAGGUAGACUUCAGGGAUGGCCACUAUCAAUUCCUUCCCAUCUCUGUGUCACUUUGCCCAUCCAGAGGUGGAGUCUGUCUCCUCUACGACUAGACUUGCUUUAGCCAACAGAAUGCAGCAGAGAUGAUAUGGUGCCCUUUCCAAAUCUGGCCUUUGAGAGGCUUGGAAGCUUUUGGGGUAAUCCAGCUGCCACAUGAGAAUUUGAAUACCCUGAGACCAACAUGCUGUGCAGAAGCCAGAGCUAGCCAUGUGCAGAGGCCACAUAGAGGAGCCCCAGGCACCAUUCAUGUAAGUGAAGCCCUCCUGAACAUUUCGGCUUAGGUGACAGCAGGAUGCGGCUGAGUCAGUGACCCCAGCGAAGGCCAAACGGAGCAGAAGAACCACCGGCUGAGACCUGCCCAAAUUUCUGACCUCCAGAAUUGACAAGAAGCCAGCUUUCAGAGAUUCUCCAGCCAUAACCAUCAUCAUCUGCUCAAUGCCCAACGUCUCUCUCCCAUGCUGCCUCCCUUUCUCUCACACACACAUAAAGUAAAUGAAAUAGUAAGUUCUCCCUGGCCUUCUCCAGCAGCCUAAUCUGGCAUCUGGGAUGCCUUAAACAUGUUCCUGGAUCAAUACCAUGUAGUUGUGUCCCAGGUCUACAAUACCAUGUAGAAACCUGUGUCCCGGGUCAUCUGUAAGAUCAUGAUUCGAAGGAUGGGUAAAUCAAUUCAGCAGGAAAUUGCUCUCCUUUCUGCCACAAAUAUCUCUCCUAGACAAUGGAUACUGGCUUCCCCUGAUCUUGUCACUCUAAAUCUGCUUCAGAGAUUUUGAUUGGAGAACAAAAGCCCAGGUGGGCGCUUGAGGAGCCACCUUCCCCUCCCCCAACAACCACCAUAAUGGUGCAAAGUUUAAGAAGAGUUCACUGGAAAACUCUGUUUAACCCGAUAGACUUUAAUUCCUUUUGGUAGCAGAUAAAUCAGGCCUGCCAUCAACAGACAGCUGAUCCUUACUCCCACCCACCACCCAGGAAAAUGCAUUUCUCUGCUCAGUAAGAAGGGAUAACCCAUCAGCAAGGUACCAGGUGUUCUUGAGGUGGGUUGUUUAGAAACCUUCCUCCUGGUGCUGCAGAAUUCUAACCCUGUUCAGGACUUUAUGUCCUCUGUUUAAGACUCAGAAUGUAUCUUCUUAUGGAUGAUGUGACCUGAAUAUCUGACAGGACAUUUUAGGGGGAUGGGCUGCAAUGGGGAACAGGGUACUGUCAUCACAGUAUCUUUGGAGCAAGAUCUAAGAUUAAAAUGUGGCUUCUCAUACUGACUGUGUGAAUUCAGACGCCUUACUUAAAUUUUAAAUUCUCUGAGCUCUGGGAAUUUAUAAAAUGGAAAUAAUGGCACAAACGCAUAGCUUGGUUGUAAUUGCAUUAUUCUCCCUGUAUUCCGACUUCUGUUUCACAGAUGGACCAAGGAUGUGAAAAGAUUUCAGGCAGGUUCUCUGUUUCCACGGUGGCAGGGAGGGUCAGGAUUGAUGAGGAGCCCUGGGGCCACAUGGGUCAGCUUUUGUGUUCCCUCUGUGGUGGUGGGAGCAUUUCUAAGAGGGCUUUGUUCCAGGGACCCAGCCUUCUUUUAGAGACUGAGACUAUUUUUAACCCAAGUUUUAGUGAUUCUGUAGGACAGCUGUUUAAGGGAAAUAUGUAGGCCAGUCUGUGAUUUUUGGAGUCAUCAUUUUAAGGUUAGGGAGUGGGAUGGGGGAAGAGAACCAGAAUAACUCUGGAGUUUCUGGAGGCAUCGCAGAGAUCUGCACCUACCCUGCAGAAAGCUGCAACCCAAUUUACUUUGUGGCCACUCUUGAGGAUCAGGACAUAGCUGAGCAGACUAAUAUUCUUUUGUUAUACUUCAAGUAAAGUGUAUCAGUUUCUGCCCAUUUUCUCUCCCAUGUGCUAUUACCAAAUCAUUAUGGAGAAAAAGUGGACAAGAAAGGCCCUCACACACUGUAAUGAGAACAAAAAUCAGUCCAGCUUUUCUUGAGUGCACUUCAACAAUAUCUGUUAAAACUGAAAAUGCACUCACCCUUGGAUCCAGCAUUCCCAUUUUUUGUUUUGGGCAGUCCUUUUCUCUUUUUUAUUGUUAGUUUUGAUUGUGGUAAAAUACAAAUAACAUAAAGUUGACCAUCUUAAUCAUUUUUAAGUAUACAAUUCAGUAGUGUUACGUAUGUUUGCAUUGUUGUGCCACAGAUCUCUAGAACUUUUCCAUCUUGCAAACUGGAAACGGCACCCACUGAACACCAGUCCCAUUUCCCCUUACCCACAGCCCCUGGAAGCCACCCUUCUACUUUGUCUCUGUGAAUUAACUACUCUAUUACCUCAUGUAAGUAGAAUCAUAUGUUGUUUGUCCUUUGGUGACUGGUUUAUUUCACUUACCAUAAUGCCCUCAAGGCCCGUCCCUGUUGUACCAGGGGUCAGAAUUUCCUAACUUUUAAAGGCUGAAUAAUAUUCCAUUGUAUGUAUAUAACCAGCAUUCCUACUUUUAAGAAUUUAUAUUAAAGAAACAUUUCUACAAGUUCCCAAAUAAACGUUUACUUCAG